GACAGUUUGGCUGAGUGGUCUAAGGCGCCAGAUUUAAGCUUUGGUCCGAAAGGGCGUGGGUUCAAAUCCCACAGCUGGUA
rnacentral:tRNA from 1 species